GAGUUUGAUCGUGGCUCAGAUUGAACGCUGGCGGCAUGCCUUACACAUGCAAGUCGGAACGGCAGCAUGAUCUAGCUUGCUAGAUUGAUGGCGAGUGGCGAACGGGUGAGUAAUACAUCGGAACGUGCCCUGGUAGUGGGGGGUAACUAGUCGAAAGAUUAGCUAAUACCGCAUACGACCUGAGGUGAAAGUGGGGGACCGCAAGGCC
rnacentral:rRNA from 1 species